AUAUCAAUAAGCGGUGUGAAAUGCAGGACACGCCGAGCACUUGAUUUUCGAACGCAUAUUGCAGCCUCGGGUCAUUCCCGGGGCUUCGUUUGUCUGAGGGUCUGUAAAGAUAUAAACUUAUCGUAAAAGUCUGUCAUCGAGUAUACCGAAAAUACACAGUUGUGUACUCGUCAGACUCAUGCAACACCAGACCAAAGCAUAGACGCGCUAUAAAGUUGUGCGCUGUGUUGUCGUUCACUGUCAUCGAGACACUAAACGGCAGAACACUACACGUUUUGCCGGUCUCUGACACACAAAGUGUUCGGCACAAAACACACGCACUACGAGUGUCUUAUGUGAGCGUCAACGGUGAACAAGCGAUGAAUUCAUUCACACACACAUGUGGACCUCAGAUCAAGCG
rnacentral:misc_RNA from 1 species